rnacentral:lncRNA from 1 species
AUAAAGGGCCGCCUUGGGGCGCGAAAAGUUCGUGAGGUGUAGUCGCGGCAACCAGGAGGUGCACCCACCACUAGAAUUUGAACAUCCUAAGAACAGGUAUUUUUGUCUCUGCUUUGCUGAUGUAUCCUCAGCAACCGGAACUGCCUGACAUCUGAUCCUUUCUGUGAGACACCAGGCUGUUGAGGAAGAAUCUAUGGCAACAUUGUAUCUAUUAAUAUACAGCUUCUGUAUUUAUCAGGCCCAGUUCUGGUGAUGAUUUCACUUUUGACAGAAGCUGUCCCUCAAAAGCAAACAUGCAAUAGAAGAAACAGAUCUCAAAGCAGUCUUGGUAUCCUGAAGCUGGAGCAAAAUGCGACAAAGUGAAGAAGUUCCUACUGACUGGGCACACAGUCAAAUGCAUGUCACCAAGACUGGGGGUUCAGUCACAUGCUGUUCUUCCUUGAUUAAAAAACUCAUUAAUCUGA